CCUACGGGAGGCAGCAGUGGGGAAUCUUCCACAAUGGGGGAAACCCUGAUGCAGCGACGCCGCGUGAGUGAAGAAGUACUUCGUUAUGUAAAGCUCUAUCAGCCGGGAAGAAAAUGACGGUACCUGAGUAAGCAGCCCCGGCUAACUACGUGCCAGCAGCCGCGGUCAUACGUAGGGUGCACGCGUUCGCCGGAUUUACUGGGUGUAACGGGAGCGUAGACGGAAGUGCAAGUCUGGAGUGAAAGGCGGGGGCUCAACCCCCGGACUGCACUGGAAACUGUACGGCUGGAGUGCAGGAGAGGUGAGUGGACUUCCAUGUGUAGCGGGGAAAUGCGUAGAUAUUAGGAGGAACACCAGUGGCGAAGGCGGCUUACUGGACUGUAACUGACGUUGAGGCUCGAAAGCGUGGGGAGCAAACAGGAUUAGAUACCCGUGUAGUC
rnacentral:rRNA from 1 species